AGAGUACUCCCUCCGUUCGGAAUUACUUGUCGCAGAAAUGGGUGUAUCUAGACGUAUUUUAGUUCUAGAUACAUCCAUUUCCGAGACAAGUAAUUCCGAACGGAGGGAGUAGAUA
rnacentral:pre_miRNA from 1 species